ACGAACGCUGGCGGCGUGCUUAACACAUGCAAGUCGAGCGGUAAGGCCCUUUCGGGGGUACACGAGCGGCGAACGGGUGAGUAACACGUGGGUGACCUGCCCUCAGCUCUGGGAUAAGCCUGGGAAACCGGGUCUAAUACCGGAUAUGACUCCAUGACGCAUGUUGUGGGGUGGAAAGCCUUGUGCGGCUGAGGAUGGGCCCGCGGCCUAUCAGCUUGUUGGUGGGGUGAUGGCCUACCAAGGCGACGACGGGUAGCCGGCCUGAGAGGCGACCGGCCACACUGGGACUGAGACACGGCCCAGACUCCUACGGGAGGCAGCAGUGGGGAAUCUUGCGCAAUGGGCGAAAGCCUGACGCAGCGACGCCGCGUGAGGGAUGACGGCCUGGUU
rnacentral:rRNA from 1 species